CCUGGUGGCUCAGAUGGUAAAGAAUCUGCCUGUAAUGCAGGAGACCCAGGUUCAAUCCCUGGGUCAGGA
rfam:TPA: Bos taurus chromosome X, whole genome shotgun sequence.